rnacentral:rRNA from 1 species
GUCUUUAAGAUUUUAAUUUAAAGUCCAAUCUGCCCAAUGAAUUUAUUUUUAAAUGGCUGCAGAAUUUAACUGUACUAAGGUAGCAUAAUAAAUUGUUUUUUAAUUUAAAACUAGAAUAAAAGAUUAAAUGAAAUAUAAACUGUUUCAAUUAAUUUUCUAUUAAAUUUUUUAUUUAAGUAAAAAAACUUAAAUAAUUUUUAAAGACGACAAGACCCUAUAGAAUUUUAUUUAUAUAUUUUUUUAUAAAAAUAUAUAAAUUUUAUUGGGGUAAUAAAAAAAUUAAAUUAAUUUUUUUUAAAAAAAAACAAUUAUAAAUGAAUAAAUUAUCUUAAUUUUUAAAUUAAAAAAAUUAAUUACCUUAGGGAUAACAGCAUAAUUUUUUUUAAAAGAUCUUAUUAAUAAAAAAGUUUAU